rnacentral:SRP_RNA from 1 species
CUGUACUAGACGGGGAGGUAGCGGUGCCCUGUAACCUGCAAUCCGCUAUAGCAGGGUUUAAUUCCAUCUAGAGGCUCGUGUUUUGUGGGGCUGCCCUGAAAAAGUGGUGUUGAAGCCUAGGUCCUGCGCAAUAGAAGCUCAUGAACCCCGUGAGAUCCGGAAGGAAGCAGCGGUAAGUGAUAACUUUUGUGUGCCGCGGGGGUGCCUAGGUAGAGCUAACUAUUCAGGUAACGUCCAUGGAUAUGUGUCGAAGGAUGGUGUACAG